AAGCCUGGUCAAACAUUCAAAAUGCCUGAUUGUAUUUUCGCGGAAAUUUAGGAAAAGCUGGCAAAAGUCCUGCCAUGUUAGGAGCCUUAAGGAAAACUGAAGUCAUAUGGUUUUCAGAAAUGGAUACGGUC
ensembl:snoRNA